CUGGUCGGGCAGCGGAGGUGAGGACAGCAUGAGUUUCUUACAAGACUAGAAAACUGGGGCUGUAGGGUGGAGGUCGGGUAUGAUGAGGGUUGGUGCUGGAGUCCAUGUCUCUGGUGGCUUUGGAAUGUCCCACCCCACUCUGAGCAGCUUCUCUCUGCUCUCUCGCCCCUUCUCCAGGUUUGGAGUGUUUAAAAGACAGUGUAGCUGCAACUUUAGGGGGAACAAACACACCUGGCAUUCUGUGGCAGGAGCCAGACUAGCACCUGGUCCCCUAUGAGGCCUUGGCUUUGCCCUAUAGUGGAGCCUUGGGGUGUCCACUCUCCUUUAUUCUAUUUCCACACUUUGGGGAAGACAAUGUGAUGUCAGAGACUGUCCCUGUCUAUAAAGAGACAGUAACAGUACCAACACCUCAGGGUUGUUGGAAGUUUCAAGGAGAUUCCAUUCAACACACCAGAUGGACAGAAGGUGGGUACUCAACCCUGCUCACGUUUCUUCCUUCCUUCCUUUUUCCUCAUCUCUGUCAUCAUGGGAUGACAUUUGGAACUUAGAGAUUUCUGUUCUAGGCUGGAGUCUGUAGCAGGGUCAGUUCUGGGUCCCAGGUGGAGCCAGCUGUUUCUGUUCUCACUGCUGGUGUGUCCUGCAUUGGCUGGGGCCAUGUUUGUUCCCACUACCCAUGUGAACUUCUGGAACAAGGUCAUUUUGUUCAGUCUGGCAACAAAAAACCUCCACAGGGCACCUGGCAUAUUGUAGGUGCUCAGUGUCCAGAGAACAAAUGCAGAUCUCUCAUUCCAUAGUCAAAAGCCCAACCUCUGGAGUCCAGCAGACCUCUGAUCAAUCUGGCUUCAUUGUUCACUAGCGUUGUAUGACCUUAAACAGGAUGGUUAAUCUUCCUGAGCCUCAAUUUCUUUGUCUAAAAAUAGGCACAAUAAUAACUACCUCCUUAGGUUGUUGUGAGGAUUAGCAAUGACAUCAUAGGGAAGCCUAGCUCGAAACUGCCCGCGCGUAGUAGGAGCUCAAUAAAUGCAAGGGAUGAUUAGCUGUGGUGACAGGAAUGUUUACAUGUGUGCCUAAAGCAAAACCUAACUCUGAGGACUCUUAGGUUUUUAAUAAGUGAUAUGUGGCCUCUCUCGGUGCCCUAGGACCUACACCCCAAAUGCUGUUCUAUGGGAUGGGACAUGCCGCUGUGACACUAACAGGUGGAGUUACCUAACAGCCUGGACAUUCAGUGACACUCACCUGCCAUGGUGUCCUCUCUAGGUGGGAGGUGGCGUGUCAAUGCCCCUCAAGUCCUCAGACAGGAGGGAGUCUGAACACAGAAUGAAGAAGGAGCAUAUGCACCAUUUUACAGCAGUCCCGCUCAUCCAUGGUCUCAGUUGCCCAAGCAGGAAACCCAACUACGCCGAGGGAGCCUGACCACUGCUCAGAGGAGCCAACCAGCUCAGGUACUCAAAACCCAGCUUUGCCAUUUAGAAAACAGUCAGGAAAAAGGCUACAAAGAGAAUUUAUUAGCCAUCUCACACUCUCUUCCCUCUCGAAGUUUCAGUUGUCUUUAUUUUUUGGUGCCAACUGUUGGUUGCUGUGUUCGGGUGUCUGACUCACCCAGGAAAAGGGCUGGCUUUCCAGCCCUCCUGUGCUGGAAGCACUGCAAGUAGCAGCCUCCCCGUCACAGACUCUCCAUCCUGCCUGGCUGACCUCUGUCGUCAGCCUGGGACCACCAACAAACAG